CCUACGGGGGGCAGCAGUAGGGAAUAUUGCUCAAUGGGGGAAACCCUGAAGCAGCAACGCCGCGUGGAGGAUGAAGGUUUUCGGAUUGUAAACUCCUUUUGUUAGAGAAGAUAAUGACGGUAUCUAACGAAUAAGCACCGGCUAACUCCGUGCCAGCAGCCGCGGUAAUACGGAGGGUGCAAGCGUUACUCGGAAUCACUGGGCGGAAAGAGCGCUGAGGCGGGAUAGCAAGUCAGAUGUGAAAUCCUAUGGCUUAACCAUAGAACGGCAUUUGAAACUGUUAUUCUAGAGUAUGGGAGAGGUAGGUGGAAUUCGUGGUGUAGGGGUAAAAUCCGUAGAGAUCAAGAGGAAUACUCAUUGCGAAGGCGACCUGCUAGAACAUAACUGACGCUGAUGCGCGAAAGCGUGGGGAGCAAACAGGAUUAGAUACCCGGGUAGUC
rnacentral:rRNA from 1 species